ACACGCUGGCGGCGUGCCUAAUACAUGCAAGUUGAACGCAACAAAGACACCAGAGCUUGCUCUACCGUUUUUGUUGAGUAGCGAACGGGUGAGUAACGCGUGGGUAACCUGCCUUAUAGCGGGGGAUAACUAUUGGAAACGAUAGCUAAUACCGCAUAACAAUAGAGAUUGCAUAAUCUUUAUUUGAAAGUGCCAACUGGUACACUAUGAGAUGGACCCGCGUUGUAUUAGCUAGUUGGUAGUGUAAUGGACUACCAAGGCGAUGAUACAUAGCCGACCUGAGAGGGUGAUCGGCCACAUUGGGACUGAGACACGGCCCAAACUCCUACGGGAGGCAGCAGUAGGGAAUCUUCGGCAAUGGACGAAAGUCUGACCGAGCAACGCCGCGUGAGUGAAGAAGGUUUUCGGAUCGUAAAACUCUGUUGUUAGAGAAGAAUGUUGAUUAGAGUGGAAAAUUAAUCAAGUGACGGUAUCUAACCAGAAAGGGACGGCUAACUACGUG
rnacentral:rRNA from 1 species